CCAAUAUUCCAAGGAUAAGAAACCACAGAAAACCAGGAGGCAGAACUGAAGAGCAAAGAGAACUCCUUGGCAACAUAAAAAGCUUGAAGCCAGUUUAGAAAGCAGAAUGAGAUUCCCAUGGCUCAGGAAGCUGAAGAUUGUUUGUACAAAAAGGUCUGGCGCUGUUGAAGAUGAGAAACACAGUGACUUGGAUUUGAAGAUACAACCUAGCCUAUAGCUAUAACCGAACUUUGACUUAUACAUAUGCAACUGGGUAGUCACCUACAGACUUCAAGGGACUAUCUAAAGGCACUUGCACAUGGAGUUCCUACCUUUCAUAAAUAUGCUGUUCCAUCAUUGAAGGGUAUGUCCUUUGAGCUAAAGCAGCAAGCCGUCAGUAAUCAUAGCUAACACAUGAAUUAUUCUGAAAAAGUAACACAUUACCUUAAAUUAGGUACUCCAGAAGCAGACCCUGCGUCAAGGAUUAUGUGGAAGAGAUGUCUGUACCUCCAGGGCCUAUCAGGAGAGAAGAAGGAAGAAGCCACGCAAGGUCCACCUUGAUUCUACAGGUGGAGAUCCUUGAAUCCUGAAAAAUAUUCUUGGAGCUGUAGACACAACUUAUAUGAUGCACAGUAUAUUUACAUCUCAGUGAAGCUAUAAGUAAAACAUGGUAUGAGAUAAAGAAACUAUGGAAGCUAUUGAUGGAAAGAAAACCUGGUCAAAUAAAUAACUUAAUUUUGCAAAAUAGAGGAAGCUUGAUGUAUACUGCCAUGUCCCAACAUUUACAUAGGUAUAUUCAGAGGGAGUCACAGGACCAGAGCUGGACACUCCUAACAUCUGUUAGAAGAGGGCAGCUUUCAAUUCCCAUCUUUUUCUCUGGGGGGCCUGAUUGCCCGUCUGCCCUGCUAUCUCUCCACUUUCCACCUUUCCCCAACUGCUGAGUGCUUCUUCUGCAGGAUCACAAAAAGCAAAAACGUCACCUGCUUCUCCUCCCAACAGCUGAAUUAUUCUUCCAUGCUUUUAUUUUGAGAGCAAAGUGGUUCAAGGUAUGUUUGAGGGUUGUGGAAACCCUCAAAGGGAUUACAGAAUGAAAAAGUUUUGAGAACCAUGCUCUAAAUAAAGAAUUGGAGAUGAAAACCUGUCAUAAUGAAAAAUUAAACUAAACCGCCUCAAAUAAAGCAAAAGAGCAACUCAUACCUUGGCAUGCAAGGAAAGGAAUUCAUAUAAUGUGGGACCGGUAAUGAGGCAGUUUCUUGCCAACGUCCAAGCCUCUUUCUACCUGCCAUGUGCUAAGGAAAUACAAGUGGAGAAUUUACAGCAAUGCAAUAAUAACAUGCAAAAUCUGAAAAUAGAAGCCUGAGUCAGAGUUUAUUCCUAAAUUUGAAAUUUACUAUCAGCAACUUCUACCAGCCUACAUAAACCUAUGUGAAUGAAUGAGUAUGAUAAGCUCAGUAGACUAGGAAGCCAGGCCUCCUUAUUGUGAGGUCCUUGAAGUUUACAGUUUUUAAAUAAUUAAUAUAGGAUGAUAAUCAAGAGACCAGGACAAAACCACUGUCACUUAUUAGUUAUGUGAUCUUGGGAAGGUCAGUCAUUCUUUAUAAGCAUUAGUUGAUUUAUUAACUAAAGAUAUUAAUACCUACAUUGGAGAGAUGUG